rnacentral:rRNA from 1 species
CCUACGGGUGGCAGCAGUGAGGAAUAUUGGUCAAUGGACGAGAGUCUGAACCAGCCAAGUAGCGUGAAGGAUGACUGCCCUAUGGGUUGUAAACUUCUUUUAUAUGGGAAUAAAAUGUUCCACGUGUGGGACUUUGUAUGUACCAUAUGAAUAAGGAUCGGCUAACUCCGUGCCAGCAGCCGCGGUAAUACGGAGGAUCCGAGCGUUAUCCGGAUUUAUUGGGUUUAAAGGGAGCGUAGGUGGAUUGUUAAGUCAGUUGUGAAAGUUUGCGGCUCAACCGUAAAAUUGCAGUUGAAACUGGCAGUCUUGAGUACAGUAGAGGUAGGCGGAAUUCGUGGUGUAGCGGUGAAAUGCUUAGAUAUCACGAAGAACUCCGAUUGCGAAGGCAGCUCGCUGGACUGCAACUGACGCUGAGGCUCGAAAGUGUGGGUAUCAAACAGGAUUAGAUACCCCGGUAGUC